GUCUUCGGAUGCUGACGAGUGGCGAACGGGUGAGUAAUACAUCGGAACGUGCCCGAGAGUGGGGGAUAACGAAGCGAAAGCUUUGCUAAUACCGCAUACGAUCUCAGGAUGAAAGCAGGGGACCGCAAGGCCUUGCGCUCACGGAGCGGCCGAUGGCAGAUUAGGUAGUUGGUGGGAUAAAAGCUUACCAAGCCGACGAUCUGUAGCUGGUCUGAGAGGACGACCAGCCACACUGGGACUGAGACACGGCCCAGACUCCUACGGGAGGCAGCAGCGGGGAAUUUUGGACAAUGGGCGCAAGCCUGAUCCAGCCAUGCCGCGUGCAGGAUGAAGGCCUUCGGGUUGUAAACUGCUUUUGUACGGAACGAAAAGACUCUGGUUAAUACCUGGGGUCCAUGACGGUACCGUAAGAAUAAGCACCGGCUAACUACGUGCCAGCAGCCGCGGUAAUACGUAGGGUGCGAGCGUUAAUCGGAAUUACUGGGCGUAAAGCGUGCGCAGGCGGUUAUGUAAGACAGAUGUGAAAUCCCCGGGCUCAACCUGGGAACUGCAUUUGUGACUGCAUAGCUAGAGUACGGCAGAGGGGGAUGGAAUUCCGCGUGUAGCAGUGAAAUGCGUAGAUAUGCGGAGGAACACCGAUGGCGAAGGCA
rnacentral:rRNA from 1 species